UAGGGAAUUUUGCGCAAUGGGCGAAAAGCCUGACGCAGCGACGCCGCGUGUGGGAUGAAGGGUUUCGGCUCGUAAACCACUGUCAGAUGGGAAGAUGGGGUAACAAGUUAAUAAUUUGUUAUCUUGACUGUACCAUCAGAGGAAGCACCGGCUAACUACGUGCCAGCAGCCGCGGUAAUACGUAGGGUGCUAGCGUUACUCGGAAUCAUUGGGCGUAAAGGGUGUGUAGGUGGAAUUGUAAGUCAGAUGUGAAAGCCUUGGGCUCACCCCAAGAAGUGCAUUUGAUACUGCUAUUCUAGAGUUCGGGAGAGGGAGGCAGAAUUCCAGGUGUAGAGGUGAAAUCCGUAGAUAUCUGGAGGAAUACCGGAGGCGAAGGCGGCCUCCUGGACCGACACUGACA
rnacentral:rRNA from 1 species